CUGCAGUGUAAUAAAUAAUGGUUAGUUUGGCUUUGGUGGUUUGGUUUGGGAGCAUGUUUUUUGAGAUUGCAAAUGUGUGAAUUUAAUUAGCGAAAUGUUUGCAUGUAAUUUUUACUCGAAUUAAAAUGUCGUAAAAUUAGCUUCGUAUCAUACAUAUUUUCUUGGGAAGUAUAGAAUAAAAUACGUCACUUUGCUAAAGAGAAAGUCAACGUGGUCCAGAGACAUUAUUCCGCCAAUUCACUCACUCGGACUUCCUAUGAACCAUUUACUUAUCUCUCUUUCCCUCGCACAAAAUGUUAAAUUGAUUCUCAUUUUAUAGGUCCAAACUAUACUCGGAGGAGGAUUUCAUCGGAGAAAGUUCCAGAGCGUCUUAUCAACCUCAUUAUAUCCAUUUCAGUGAAUAAAUGUCUCUUAUACUUGCCCUUCCGCAAUUAUCUCAACCUCUAAUUCAUUCGAUCUUCUCUCACAUGGCAUAACCAGCUCAAAAAGUCAUUAUCAAACUUUCUCCUUGUUCUUCUCCACCGCGAUGAGAAGUAAAUAAUUGGGAAAUCUCAUUUAAUUAAAGUGACCUCGGAAAAUAUUUCAAAAUUGACGUCAGUCCGACGAGCAAGAAUAAACUUUAUCUUCAAAAGCAACCCCACGAGACUUUUGUACAGAGAGGAACUGGAGGCAGAAAAUGUCAAAAAAUGUGGCAAGUGGAAAGUGAAAUGAAGGUUCCGCAGUCUUACAAUUUAGAGAAUGGAAGGGGGAGCGAGCUUUCGGAGAAAAUGAAAUGCAGAGGAAGAAAGGAAACGUGGGCAAUAUCAGAGGAACCAACCAAGAUGAUGAUCAUCAUGAAAGUGACAACACAACUUUCCCCUCCUUUCUCUCUCCUCCUCCCUUCAACUUCACUGAUUGCCCACGGCAUCCACUCUUCCAGUCAUCUCAGACUUCAAAAUAUUCUCGUCUAUCGCACAAAAUAUUCGAGUAUGUGCAUGCACAAAACAUGUCAAACCAGACGGUGUUUCCUUUCACUUGAGCACUUCAGAAAAAAUUGGGAUGAUUAGAGGACGCAGAGGGGAGAGGAAUAGAAGAGAAUGCCCGAGCCGGGUAUUACACAUUACACCUUCUUAUGCCUGGCAACAGUCCAACUGAUCUGUGGUGGAAAUACUGCUUCACUGUAAAAUGAGGCUGCGUUGUACUUACAAUUAUGUAGUAUUACCUGAUUAUAUGCAAUAAAUUAUUUUGAUGCGA